ensembl:miRNA mdo-mir-7386f mdo-mir-7386f
ACUCGGAUGAGGCACUCUAUUUUGUGCAUCCCUCCAAAAUAAAUGCCUCAUCCUUGGGA